rnacentral:rRNA from 1 species
AGAGUUUGAUCCUGGCUCAGAUUGAACGCUGGCGGCAGGCCUAACACAUGCAAGUCGAGCGGUAGCACAAGAGAGCUUGCUCUCUGGGUGACGAGCGGCGGACGGGUGAGUAAUGUCUGGGAAACUGCCUGAUGGCGGGGGAUAACUAGUGGAAACGGUAGCUAAUACCGCAUAACGUCGCAAGACCAAAGUGGGGGACCUUCGGGCCUCACGCCAUCAGAUGUGCCCAGGUGGGAUUAGCUGGUAGGUGGGGUAACGGCUCACCUAGGCGACGAUCCCUAGCUGGUCUGAGAGGAUGACCAGCCACACUGGAACUGAGACACGGUCCAGACUCCUACGGGAGGCAGCAGUGGGGAAUAUUGCACAAUGGGCGCAAGCCUGAUGCAGCCAUGCCGCGUGUGUGAAGAAGGCCUUCGGGUUGUAAAGCACUUUCAGCGAGGAGAAAGGGUAAUGUGUUAAUAAGACAUUGCAUUGACGUUACUCGCAGAAGAAGCACCGGCUAACUCCGUGCCAGCAGCCGCGGUAAUACGGAGGGUGCAAGCGUUAAUCGGAAUUACUGGGCGUAAAGCGCACGCAGGCGGUUUGUUAAGUCAGAUGUGAAAUCCCCGCGCUCAACGUAGGAACGGCAUUUGAGACUGGCAAGCUAGAGUCUUGUAGAGGGGG